rnacentral:rRNA from 1 species
UCGCCUGUUUAUCAAAAACAUGGCUCUCUGUAUAUUGAAGAUAGAGAGUCGGACCUGCCCGGUGAAUUUUUUAACGGCCGCGGUACUCUGACCGUGCAAAGGUAGCAUAAUCAUUUGCCUUAUAAUUGAAGGCUAGAAUGAAUGGUUUGACAAGAAUACAACUGUCUCUUUACAAUUACAUAAAAUUUUAUCUGCAGUUGAAGAAGCCUGCAUUUGAAUAAAAGACAAGAAGACCCUAUCGAGCUUAAAAAAAACUGGUGGAAUAACAAACUUAAUCCUAACUUAUAAAUAAAUAAAUAGUCAACUACUGGAAAUUUUGGUUGGGGCGACCGGGGAACAAAAAAAACUUCCUUUAUAAAAAUUUAGAUGCCCAAAUAUUGAUCCAGCAUUAUAUGAUUAAAGAAAUUAGUUACCGUAGGGAUAACAGCAUUAUCUUUUUUAAGAGUUCUUAUCGAAAACCGUUUGUGACCUCGAUGUUGGACCAGAAUAUCCUAAAGAUGCAGCC